rnacentral:rRNA from 1 species
CAACAGGGAUUGCCCUAGUAACGGCGAGUGAAGCGGCAACAGCUCAAAUUUGAAAUCUGGCUUCGGCCCGAGUUGUAAUUUGCAGAGGAUGUUUCUGGCGCGGUGCCUUCCGAGUUCCCUGGAACGGGACGCCAUAGAGGGUGAGAGCCCCGUAUGGUUGGAUACCAAGCCUGUGUGAAACUCCUUCGACGAGUCGAGUAGUUUGGGAAUGCUGCUCAAAAUGGGAGGUAAAUCUCUUCUAAAGCUAAAUAUUGGCCAGAGACCGAUAGCGCACAAGUAGAGUGAUCGAAAGAUGAAAAGCACCUUGAAAAGGGGGUUAAACAGUACGUGAAAUUGUUGAAAGGGAAGCGCUCAUGACCAGACUUGUGCUGGGCAGCUCAUCCGGGGUUCUCCCCGGUGCAUUCUGCCCAGUUCAGGCCAGCAUCGAUUUUUGCUGGGGGAUAAGAACGGUAGGAACGUGGCCCUCCUUCGGGAGGGUGUUAUAGCCUACCGUACGAUACCCUAGCGGAGAUCGAGGUUCGCGCAUCUGCAAGGAUGCUGGCGUAAUGGUCAUCAGCGACCCGUCUUGAAACACGGACCAAGGAGUCGUCCAUUAGAGCGAGCGUUUGGGUGUAAAACCCGCACGCGUAAUGAAAGUGAAAUUAGGUGAGAGCUUCGGCGCAUCAUCGACCGAUCCUGAUGUUCUCGGAUGGAUUUGAGUAAGAGUUUUAACGGACGGACCCGAAAGACAGUGAACUAUGCUUGUAUAGGGUGAAGCCAGAGGAAACUCUGGUGGAGGCUCGCAGCGGCUCUGACGUGCAAAUCGAUCGUCAAAUAUGAGCAUGGGGGCGAAAGACUAAUCGAACUGUCUAGUAGCUGGUUACCGCCGA